rnacentral:sRNA from 2 species
AAUUGCAAAGUGCCUAAUCUGCAAAGAGCGGGGGAACCAUUUUUGGGGUGAAUCUAAUAGCAAAUUUAAGUAUGAGGUUAAGUAGAUGUUAGAUAUUUACUUAUAUUUAUUCUUAAUCUUAAAUUUUAUAUUAGUAGGGUAUCCUCUACCCGAAUCCGACAGCUAACCUCGUAGGCAUGUGAAAAGAGGGACA